rnacentral:rRNA from 1 species
UGGGGAAUAUUGGACAAUGGGCGCAAGCCUGAUCCAGCCAUGCCGCGUGAGUGAUGAAGGCCUUAGGGUUGUAAAGCUCUUUCGACGGGGACGAUGAUGACGGUACCCGUAGAAGAAGCCCCGGCUAACUUCGUGCCAGCAGCCGCGGUAAUACGAAGGGGGCUAGCGUUGUUCGGAAUUACUGGGCGUAAAGCGCACGCAGGCGGUUCGGUCAGUCAGAAGUGAAAGCCCCGGGCUUAACCUGGGAACUGCCUUUGAUACUGGAGGUCUCGAGUCCGGGAGAGGUGAGUGGAACUGCGAGUGUAGAGGUGAAAUUCGUAGAUAUUCGCAAGAACACCAGUGGCGAAGGCGGCUCACUGGCCCGGUACUGACGCUGAGGUGCGAAAGCGUGGGGAGCAAACA